AUCUCAUAAGCUAACAGCACCAUAAAGAUAGAAGACUAGCUACAGGGGAUUCUCCGUACAAUUCAUACUAAAGCCAUUGCCUGGAGAGUCUGGCAUCUUGGACUGAAGGGAGAUGCCAUGGCUGACGGAGUCCUCAUUGGGAAGCAGAGUCUUUGCUGGCUGCUUGGUUCACUUGGGUGGCUACUGCUGUUGCCUUAUUUACAGAGUGGAGAUGGAGAUGAAAUCCAAGGUCUUUCAAGAUAUGCAAAUGAAGCAUCCUUUUUAAAUUCAAAUUGUGGCAUAGCAUUAAAAAACUUAUUUUGAUUAAAAAUUAUACUUGUGAAUCUUCC
rnacentral:lncRNA from 1 species